rnacentral:rRNA from 1 species
GAUGAACGCUGGCGGCGUGCCUAAUACAUGCAAGUCGAGCGAACGGACGAGAAGCUUGCUUUUCUGAUGUUAGCGGCGGACGGGUGAGUAACACGUGGAUAACCUACCUAUAAGACUGGGAUAACUUCGGGAAACCGGAGCUAAUACCGGAUAAUAUUUUGAACCGCAUGGUUCAAAAGUGAAAGACGGUCUUGCUGUCACUUAUAGAUGGAUCCGCGCUGCAUUAGCUAGUUGGUAAGGUAACGGCUUACCAAGGCAACGAUGCAUAGCCGACCUGAGAGGGGGUCCGACCACCUGGGACGUGAGCCACGGUCCAAACCCCUGGGGGGGGCAAGAGUGGGGAAUCUGCCGGAAGGGGGGAAGGCCGAACGGGGCAAAGCGGGGGAAGUGAUGAGGGUCUUCGGUUCGUAAAACGUUUUUAUUAGGAAAAAAAUUAUGUUUAAGUACCUGGGAUCAUAUUGACGGUACCUAAUCAAAAAGCCCCGGCUAACUCCGU